rnacentral:rRNA from 1 species
AGCGAACGCUGGCGGCAGGCUUAACACAUGCAAGUCGAACGCAUCCUUCGGGGUGAGUGGCAGACGGGUGAGUAACGCGUGGGAACAUGCCCUUUGGUUCGGAAUAACUCAGGGAAACUUGAGCUAAUACCGGAUAAGCCCUUUUGGGGAAAGAUUUAUCGCCGAAGGAUUGGCCCGCGUCCGAUUAGCUAGUUGGUGAGGUAAUGGCUCACCAAGGCGACGAUCGGUAGCUGGUCUGAGAGGAUGAUCAGCCACACUGGGACUGAGACACGGCCCAGACUCCUACGGGAGGCAGCAGUGGGGAAUAUUGGACAAUGGGGGCAACCCUGAUCCAGCCAUGCCGCGUGAGUGAUGAAGGCCCUAGGGUUGUAAAGCUCUUUCGGCGGGGACGAUAAUGACGGUACCCGCAGAAGAAGCCCCGGCUAACUUCGUGCCAGCCGCCGCGGUAA